rnacentral:sRNA from 1 species
GAAAUCGCGACUAUGGGAGCUCCCGGGGGAAAGAUCAACCGGCCCCGAACGGUGACUGUGUGGGGGCCGCGACUUUGUUUCCUCAAGCGUCCCCGAGCCCUUUUAUCUCGCACGAGAUGGGAUCAGUGGGGGGCCGGGGCUGCCUGGUGGAGGGGUCCCGGGUCGCGGCGAGCCCACUCCAUCUGAUUCGCAUCUUUCUCCCCGGCAGGAGCUGAAGAAGAAGCUGUUCAAACGCCGGCGGGUGUUGAAUCGGGAGCGGCGUCUGAGGCACCGGGUGGUCGGGGCUGUAAUAGACCAAGGGCUGAUCACGCGGCACCACCUCAAGAAGCGGGCGUCCAGUGCACGUGCCAACAUUACUCUGUCAGGGAAGAAGCGCAGAAAACUCCUCCAGCAGAUCCGGCUUGCCCAGAAAGAGAAGGCAGCCAUGGAAGGUGAGGCUGGGACAGAGGUGGCUGAGGGGAAUCCUGGAUUUAUUUGGGUUAAUACUUCCUUCUUCCCUUUACUCAGUGGAAGCCCCUUCAAAGCCAGCCAGGACUAGUGAAUCACAGCUCAAAAGGCAAAAGAAGACAAAAGCCCCCCAGGAUGUAGAAAUGAAGGACCUUGAAGAUGAGAGCUAAACCUCUUCCACUAGAAGAUUCUCAACUGGAGCCAGCCUUCAGACUCAGUGGUUGUUUCAGAGGACUUUGACAAAAGCAAUGCCCCUUUUCACUCUCCAGAUUUCCUCCUACCUAAUGGCCUACUGAUUUCCCCUAGAGGGAUGUCUUUGGGAGGGAAGAAGGUACAGAAGAAAGACUGGAGAAGGGCCUCUUUAGCAGUCAACUCCAUUUGUAAUAAAGCCCUAACACUCUGA